rnacentral:rRNA from 1 species
CCUACGGGAGGCAGCAGUGGGGAAUAUUGCACAAUGGGCGCAAGCCUGAUGCAGCCAUGCCGCGUGUGUGAAGAAGGCCUUCGGGUUGUAAAGCACUUUCAGCGGGGAGGAAGGCGGUGAGGUUAAUAACCUCAUCGAUUGACGUUACCCGCAGAAGAAGCACCGGCUAACUCCGUGCCAGCAGCCGCGGUAAUACGGAGGGUGCAAGCGUUAAUCGGAAUUACUGGGCGUAAAGCGCACGCAGGCGGUCUGUCAAGUCGGAUGUGAAAUCCCCGGACUCAACCUGGGAACUGCAUUCGAAACUGGCAGGCUAGAGUCUUGUAGAGGGGGGUAGAAUUCCAGGUGUAGCGGUGAAAUGCGUAGAGAUCUGGAGGAAUACCGGUGGCGAAGGCGGCCCCCUGGACAAAGACUGACGCUCAGGUGCGAAAGCGUGGGGAGCAAACAGGAUUAGAUACCCGAGUAGUC